rnacentral:guide_RNA from 1 species
CAACAAACGAGAUGACCAAUACACAGUGAUGAUGGUAU